GAUGAACGCUAGCUACAGGCUUAACACAUGCAAGUCGAGGGGUGACGAGAGGAAAGCUUGCUUUCCUUGUCGACGACCGGCGCACGGGUGAGUAACGCGUAUCCAACCUGCCCCCAACUAGGGAAUAACCUUGCGAAAGUAAGACUAAUACCCUAUAAUUUCCUCAGAUGACAUCUGACGAGGAAUAAAGAUUUAUCGGUUGUGGAUGGGGAUGCGUCUGAUUAGCUUGUUGGCGGGGUAACGGCCCACCAAGGCAACGAUCAGUAGGGGUUCUGAGAGGAAGGUCCCCCACAUUGGAACUGAGACACGGUCCAAACGCCUACGGGAGGCAGCAGUGAGGAAUAUUGGUCAAUGGGCGGAAGCCUGAACCAGCCAAGUAGCGUGCAGGAUGACGGCCCUAUGGGUUGUAAACUGCUUUUAUACAGGAAUAAAGUUAGCCACGUGUGGUUAUUUGUAGGUACUGUAUGAAUAAGGACCGGCUAAUUCCGUGCCAGCCGCCGCCGUAA
rnacentral:rRNA from 1 species